CACUGAGUCAUCCCACCAGCCCUCUGGUUGUUUCUAGUGCAUCCAUAAAAUGCAAACAUUACACACUGUGUAUAACGUAUAGCUUCCAGAAUGCAUUUGUUAGGGAAUAAUGACAAGGACUAGAUACUUUCUAAUGUUUUUUAGUUGGACAUUGGCUAGAUUUGCAGAUUCAAAACCUUUGAAGGCAGAGAGACAACUGGAUUUGUCUGUAUUCAAUUUGAAACUUACUAACCAAGCCUGUCUGUGCUACUUCAAAAAACCAGUGUGACCAAGAGGUGGUUUAUAUGCUUAGAAUCUUUCGCUCCCUUAUGCCCUUCCCAAAUCAAAAGGUGAUGUCAAUUUCUCCAUUUCUUAAGCCAGAGCAGGCCCUGAGAUGGCCUCAAGCCACGAGGUUUAAUGAAAAUUAGCUACACAACUUCUGGGGUUAGACUAUCAAAAUGUGCGGGUCUGCUUUGUUGUCUUGGGAUGCUGACUCUAGGACGGCAGGAAGCAAGUUGUGAAUAAACACAGUGCCCUGUGGGAAGCUCCUGUAGACAGGGACCGAGGUCCGUGGACCAUAACCCUAAAUGAGCUCUCAAGUAAUUGGCCCACCAUGUACAUGAAGUAUCUUGAAAAUUAAGCCUUUAGCCUUUGGUUGAGUCAUCCCUGCUGAUGCCCUGUGACGCACAUAUGACCACUGAGUCAUGAGAAAUAGAGAGCUGGAAUAUUUACCAGGAAUAAGUCAUUGGUGCUAGAAAUACAGCUCUGUGAAGGAGUGCUUGCCUAUGUGCACAAGGCUAAGGGUUUGAUCCCCAGGGAUGCACAAAUAAGGGUACUAUGAGGGUGUACAGAAGAAACGGUUGCUUUCUUCCUCUCAAGGCCCACCUCACAACCUGUUCUAUCACCUCACGCCCUUGGGCCACAAAGAGAAACUGAGACAAGUGUGGGGUAUCCACCAGAGAAGACUGCUCAGAGUCUUUAUCAGCCAGCUGGAACCCAGUGUUGCACUGAGCCUUUCUCAUGGUGAGCCUGUAAGUGCAAAAGCCAUGUCCUGGUUUGACAUACUUCAGUUAACAAGAACAGUCAGCCAGAAGCAGAACUAUAGAAGCCAAAAAGCAAGGUUAGUACAUUUUGGGACUUUCCCGGAACUAUGUCUUUUGAUGGAUUAGGUCUUUGUUUUUCUUUUGGCUGGUGGUACUGUUUAUGUGCUAAGUUUUAUGGCCUGAAUAGAACUUCCAUCCUGGAGUCAGUUGUGCUAAGGUAUGGGGACCUAUUACAACAAUGACCCUCUAGUGUCAGAUUCCUCAAAUCAGCUCUUUAAAUUGUAAAGCAUGAGGUCCUAACAUUCCUCUGUUCACUCUUGGAACUCUGGGAACAGAGGGAGUAAAGGCCAGACCCUGCUUUUGCUCCCUGCAGACUCGUGUUCUCAGUGGACAGAUCUUUUCUUCCUCUUCUCUUAUCAUCCCUUCCCUUGCCUUUUCUAUUUUCUGAGACAGGAUCUGAGAUCCUGACUGUGUACUAGACUGUGUACUAGCCAACAAUGAUUUUUUUUGGUUGUUUGUUUUUUUUUGUUUUGUUUUGUUUUUGUUUUUUUGCUUUUCAAGACAGGGUUUCUCUGUGUAGCUUUGGAGCCUAUCCUGGCACUCGCUUUGGAGACCAGGCUGGCCUCGAACUCACAGAGAUCCACCUGCCUCUGCCUUCCGAG
ensembl:lincRNA